rnacentral:rRNA from 2 species
GCGGACGGGUGAGUAACACGUGGGCAACCUGCCUUUCAGACUGGGAUAACCCCGGGAAACCGGGGCUAAUACCGGAUAACCAGCCGGUUCGCAUGAACCGGCUGUAAAAGAGGGGAGUUUUCUCCUCUCACUGAAAGAUGGGCCCGCGGCGCAUUAGCUAGUUGGUAAGGUAGUGGCUUACCAAGGCGACGAUGCGUAGCCGACCUGAGAGGGUGAUCGGCCACACUGGAACUGAGACACGGUCCAGACUCCUACGGGAGGCAGCAGUAGGGAAUCAUCCGCAAUGGGCGAAAGCCUGACGGUGCAACGCCGCGUGAACGACGAGGGUUUUCGGAUCGUAAAGUUCUGUUGUGAGGGAAGAACACGUGCCGGUCAAACAGGCCGGCACCUUGACGGUACCUCACGAGAAAGCCCCGGCUAACUACGUGCCAGCAGCCGCGGUAAUACGUAGGGGGCAAGCGUUGUCCGGAAUUAUUGGGCGUAAAGCGCGCGCAGGCSGUCUUGUAAGUCUGAUGUGAAAGCCCACGGCUCAACCGUGGAGGGUCAUUGGAAACUGCAGGACUUGAGUGUAGGAGAGGAAAGUGGAAUUCCACGUGUAGCGGUGAAAUGCGUAGAUAUGUGGAGGAACACCAGUGGCGAAGGCGACUUUCUGGCCUACAACUGACGCUGAGGCGCGAAAGCGUGGGGAGCAAACAGGAUUAGAUACCCUGGUAGUCCACGCCGUAACGAUGAGUGCUAGGUGUUAGGG